GACAACAUCGAGGUUACUGGAUCGCUGGGACAGGGGUCCCUGGAGCACUCUGAUCUGGAGCACGGGGAGCUGAGGGUCUCUGGGGCAUCCAUGAGCUUCAAAGGGGCCACACCUGAGCAUCCAGGUGUUCAGCCACCAGGUAGAUGGUCACUGAGGCACAAGAUGAACAUGCUGAGGCUCUGACAGGUGGAACCUGUUCAACUUCACAGAGCUGGUGGGCACCUGUGGUGACUCCUCAGAGCCACCUACUCAGGAGUGGGCCUGGCCGCCAGCACCAUGUCAGAGCGAACUCUCCUCCCACUGAGCAGGAAGACCAUUAAGACAAACUACGGAGGUUUUUCCCCUGCAGUUUUUACUUUAUAUUAGU